GGUGCCGUGGCAGAGUGGUCUAAUGCGAUAGACUAGAAAUCUAUUCUCUUCGGAGGCGUCUGUUCGAAUCAGGCCGGCAUCG
rfam:Valsa mali strain 03-8 chromosome 5, whole genome shotgun sequence.